GACGAACGCUGGCGGCGUGCCUAACACAUGCAAGUCGAGCGAAUGAAGUUCCUUCGGGAAUGGAUUUAGCGGCGGACGGGUGAGUAACACGUGGGCAACCUGCCUCAUAGAGGGGAAUAGCCUUCCGAAAGGGAGAUUAAUACCGCAUAAGAUUGUAGUACCGCAUGGUAAAGCAAUUAAAGGAGCAAUCCGCUGUGAGAGGGGCCCGGGGCGCAUUAGCAAGUUGGUGAGGUAACGGCUCACCAAGGCGACGAUGCGGAGCCGACCUGAGAGGGUGAUCGGCCACAUUGGGACUGAGACACGGCCCAGACUCCUACGGGAGGCAGCAGUGGGGAAUAUUGCACAAUGGGGGAAACCCUGAUGCAGCAACGCCGCGUGAGUGAUGACGGCCUUCGGGUUGUAAAGCUCUGUCUUCAGGGACGAUAAUGACGGUACCUGAGGAGGAAGCCACGGCUAACUACGUGCCAGCCGCCGCCGUAAUAC
rnacentral:rRNA from 1 species